UACGUAGGCAGCAAGCGUUGUUCGGAGUUACUGGGCGUAAAGGGUGUGUAGGCGGUUGCUUAAGUUUGGUGUGAAAUCUCCCGGCUCAACUGGGAGGGUGCGCCGAAUACUGAGUGACUCGAGUGCGGGAGAGGAGAGUGGAAUUCCUGGUGUAGCGGUGAAAUGCGUAGAUAUCAGGAGGAACACCGGUGGUGUAGACGGCUCUCUGGACCGUAACUGACGCUGAGACACGAAAGCGUGGGGAGCAAACAGG
rnacentral:rRNA from 1 species